GCAGGCAUAACCGCGCAGCUCCAUACUUCUUUACAUUCCAUAUGAUAUCAAAUACUAUGGGAAGUAAGGAAGCACGGAACUCGCGCUAGGCUAUGUGUCUUC
rnacentral:pre_miRNA from 1 species